GCGUUCGUAGCUCAGUUUGGUAGAGCAACGGACUUUUAAUCCGUGGGUCGUGAGUUCAAGUCUCGCCGAACGCA
rnacentral:tRNA from 1 species